rnacentral:rRNA from 1 species
UACGUAGGGUGCGAGCGUUGUCCGGAAUUACUGGGCGUAAAGAGCUCGUAGGUGGUUUGUCGCGUUGUUCGUGAAAACUCACAGCUUAACUGUGGGCGUGCGGGCGAUACGGGCAGACUGGAGUACUGCAGGGGAGACUGGAAUUCCUGGUGUAGCGGUGAAAUGCGCAGAUAUCAGGAGGAACACCAGCGGCGAAGGCGGCGCUCUGGGCCGGAACUGACGCUGAGGAGCGAAAGCGCGGGUAGCAAACAGG